UACAGAGACUGCAAGCGUUAUUCGGAUUCAUUGGGCGUAAAGGGCGCGCAGGCGGCGGUGUGAGUGAGGCGUGAAAGCUCGGGGCUUAACCCCGGAAUUGCACCUCAAACUACACGGCUAGAGCAUUGGAGAGGGUAGCAGAAUUCACGGUGUAGCAGUGAAAUGCGUAGAUAUCGUGAGGAAUACCAGAGGCGAAGGCGGCUACCUGGACAAUUGCUGACGCUCAGGCACGAAAGCGUGGGGAGCAAAAGGG
rnacentral:rRNA from 1 species